CUACGGGCCGCUGCAGUGGGGAAUCUUGCACAAUGGAGGAAACUCUGAUGCAGCGACGCCGCGUGAGCGAUGAAGCCCUUCGGGGUGUAAAGCUCUUUCGACGGGAACGAUAAUGACGGUACCCGGAGAAGAAGCUGCGGCUAACUACGUGCCAGCAGCCGCGGUAAUACGUAGGCAGCAAGCGUUGUUCGGAGUUACUGGGCGUAAAGAGUGCGUAGGCGGUGCCCUAAGUCUGUUGUGAAAUCUCCCGGCUUAACUGGGAGGGUGCGGUGGAAACUGGGGUGCUUGAGUGUGGGAGAGGUUGGCGGAAUUCCUGGUGUGGCGGUGAAAUGCGUAGAUAUCAGGAGGAACACCGGUGGUGUAGACGGCUAACUGGACCAUGACUGACGCUGAGGCACGAAAGCGUGGGUAGCAAACAGGAUUAGAUACCCUGGUAGUC
rnacentral:rRNA from 1 species